CCUACGGGAGGCAGCAGUUAGGAAUUUUGGGCAAUGGCCGCAAGGCUGACCCAGCAACGCCGCGUGGGGGACGAAGGCCUUCGGGUUGUAAACCCCUUUUGUCGGGGACGAUGAUGACGGUACCUGACGAAGAAGCCCCGGCUAACUACGUGCCAGCAGCCGCGGUAAU
rnacentral:rRNA from 1 species